GGAGAGUUGUCAGAGUUGGUUUAUUGUGCUGGUCUUGAAAACCGGUGGUCCUAACAAGAUCCAAAGGUUCGAAUCCUUUACUCUCCG
rnacentral:tRNA from 1 species